AAAUUUUAAUCCUGUUCAUAACUUGUUUGACCUUUUUUGUUUUUUGUAGCCCUCUGCAGUUCCAGGAUGUAAUUCUAACCUUAAGAUCAACAGACAUAAGGACCCAUUGUUUUGAAUUUUCCCAACAGUUUCAGUAUUUUCAGACCAAACAACAGAAAAAAAGAACAGUAAACAAACUUAUUACCCUCAACUAACAUCAAUCCACCUGAGUAUUACCACGUCAGGUGUCUCCCUCCCCUUAUUUUGUUGGACGUCCCGAAAGCAAAGAGCUGAUCCACACGAGAGAAUAGCUAUGGCCCGGUCCAGUCAGCAGCCUCAGUACAGCUGUAGUAACCCAGAGCAGUCAGCUCCCCCUGCACAGGAUGCUGACCGGCCACACCCAGAAGAGGAGGAGAUAGUGAGAGAUGAGUGUGAUUCAGCAGUGUCUGGAGCUCCACCUGCUGAGCAUGACAUUUCUCAAACCAGAGCUGCAGGCCCUGCUCGCCCUCCCUCGUACUCAGCACGGACAGGGUAGAACCAGUAGGUUAUUAUUAAAGGAUAUUGUUGUUACAUGGUGUCCAUGCCAGAAGAAAAUCUUUAAAAAAAAAGAUGCUGUUUGAAACCAUCCCCAUGUUCACUGGAGGAACCUGCAACCCUCAGUUCAUGGUGUACCAGCUGAAGAUGAAGAUCCACACGUCGAACCCGAGAAGACAAGCUGAUGCUGUUUGAGUUCCCGCAGCCGCUUCCUGUUUGUGGAGACAUCAUGGUGGAGUCCUUCCACAAGUAGAACAAGAUGAUGAGGACGGUGAAGCUGUACUUCACUAAGACGGUAGAAGAAUUAGCUAACUGUGACGCCAGCAGCACGUUGGCCUCUGUGACACUGAACGUUAGCGACACCUGAGAGGGAGUGAGGGAGAGACGGAGGGAGAGAGAGAGAGACACAGACAGCAGGUCAUUACUGUACCUGCACACAUGACAAGACUACAGGUUGUUCCUGCACCUGUGAUGGAGCCGCUCAUACACAUUCAAGGACAAGAGCCACUCACUGCCUCCAUGUUGGCUGCAGCUCCACUCAUGGAUCAAUAACAGCUUCUUGGGGAGCGACUGUACCCAAUGAUUCAGGCCCUUCAGCCAAAUUUGGCUGGUAAAAUUACUGGGAUACUGCUGGAGAUUGACAGCUGGGAGCUGCUGUACAUGCUGAAGGCUGCUGAAGAGAUAUUUGAGCUGUUUGAAAGAACGAUAGCAGAGCAGAGCAUAUGACUGUGAGUGUUACUGUGAUCUUUUGGUCUGCAUUGGUAAAUUUCACCCUGAUAUUUUAGUCAUUAACUCUACUAAUUCAUGUGAAACCCUGAGUGGCUUGGCAGGGCAAAACUAGGGCAACAGUGGGUGAUUGGGGUAAAGGAGCACAAGACAGCAGCACAGCAAGUGGCUGCCUUUGCCCCAUCAGAGGAGGAGGUGCAUGUAAGUUCAUCACAUUUCCUGUCAGAACCUGUCAGAACAUUAACCUUAAUUUUUUCUCCUCUGCCAACAGUGGUUUGAUGUCUCCUACAGACUGGUGCAGCCACAACUCCUGAGACCCACCAGGAAUUGCAAGAGGGAUGUGAAAUGGAAACAUUUGAACAGUUGUGAUAAUCUGGGCCUACCUGCUGCACCGGGGCAAGUUCCAGGAGGCGCUGGGCUUCUACAGAGAGGUCCUGACACGAGACAAGAAGUGUGUGACCAUCCCCAGUCAGCGGCACUGUGUCAUCUACUACAGCUUCCUGCUGAGGAACCAGCUGCUGUACAAACCCGUCGCUCUGCUCUUCCACAAGAUGCUGUUUGAAACCAUCCCCAUGUUUACUGGAGGAACCUGCAAACCCUGCAAGUCCUGCCACAAGAUGAACAAGAUAAUGAAGAAGAUGAAGUGGAGGACAAGCUCAAAGGUGCAGGCACUGAUGGGAAACCUCCUCAGGCCGCGAUGUGAAGUUCAUUGUGAAAGACUCAGUAGAGGAGAAGAUGGUGGAGAUCCAGAGGGGGAAGCAGGACCUGGUGGAGAAGGCUUUUGGCUCCAAGAACAAUGACAGGAAAACAUCUUGCAUCAAUGACAUCAAGGCUCUGAUGGAGCUAUAGAUGUCUGACAAUGGGCCUGAGCUAAUGUGUCAACAGUGCAACAAGACAAACCUUGAACCAUUACAACAGUUGACUGUGUCCUCUAUUGUUGUCUCAGUUCAUAUCUGAGAGUUUUUGCACACAUUGUUAAUGUUUGCUUCCUACUUUGAAUUUGAUAUUUUGCUUUCAUAGUUUAUAAUUUUUGUUCUAUUUUGAUUCCAGCUGUUUUAUUAAAAUUUUGAUAAGUAGUUUUGUAAGUUUAAUUGUUCUAAGUAGUUGCCAUUAUUUGUUUUGCUUUUAGUCCAGACAUAUAUUUAUGGAUCGCCAACACAUUCAGCACACAAACGAGUGCUUUGGCAGUAUGUACAGUGUUACCUCAUGCCAAUAAAGCCAGUUGAAUUGAGAGAGAGA